GUUUAGAACGUCGUGAGACAGUUCGGUCCCUAUCUGCCGUGGGCGUUGGAAGAUUGAAGGGGGCUGCUCCUAGUACGAGAGGACCGGAGUGGACGAACCUCUGGUGUUCGGGUUGUGUCGCCAGACGCAUUGCCCGGUAGCUAAGUUCGGAAUUGAUAAGCGCUGAAAGCAUCUAAGCGCGAAGCGAGCCCUGAGAUGAGUCUUCCCUGAUACUUUAAGUAUCCUAAAGGGUUGUUCGAGACUAGAACGUUGAUAGGCAGGGUGUGUAAGCGUUGUGAGGCGUUGAGCUAACCUGUACUAAUUGCCCGUGAGGCUUAACCAU
rnacentral:rRNA from 5 species